UUAAAAUGAGAGUUUGAUCCUGGCUCAGGACGAACGCUGGCGGCGUGCCUAAUACAUGCAAGUCGAGCGAGCGGAACUAACAGAUUUACUUCGGUAAUGACGUUAGGAAAGCGAGCGGCGGAUGGGUGAGUAACACGUGGGGAAUCUGCCCCAUAGUCUGGGAUACCACUUGGAAACAGGUGCUAAUACCGGAUAAGAAAGCAGAUCGCAUGAUCAGCUUUUAAAAGGCGGCGUAAGCUGUCGCUAUGGGAUGGCCCCGCGGUGCAUUAGCUAGUUGGUAAGGUAAAGGCUUACCAAGGCGAUGAUGCAUAGCCGAGUUGAGAGACUGAUCGGCCACAUUGGGACUGAGACACGGCCCAAACUCCUACGGGAGGCAGCAGUAGGGAAUCUUCCACAAUGGACGCAAGUCUGAUGGAGCAACGCCGCGUGAGUGAAGAAGGUUUUCGGAUCGUAAAGCUCUGUUGUUGGUGAAGAAGGAUAGAGGUAGUAACUGGCCUUUAUUUGACGGUAAUCAACCAGAAAGUCACGGCUAACUACGUGCCAGCAGCCGCGGUAAUACGUAGGUGGCAAGCGUUGUCCGGAUUUAUUGGGCGUAAAGCGAGCGCAGGCGGAAGAAUAAGUCUGAUGUGAAAGCCCUCGGCUUAACCGAGGAACUGCAUCGGAAACUGUUUUUCUUGAGUGCAGAAGAGGAGAGUGGAACUCCAUGUGUAGCGGUGGAAUGCGUAGAUAUAUGGAAGAACACCAGUGGCGAAGGCGGCUCUCUGGUCUGCAACUGACGCUGAGGCUCGAAAGCAUGGGUAGCGAACAGGAUUAGAUACCCUGGUAGUCCAUGCCGUAAACGAUGAGUGCUAAGUGUUGGGAGGUUUCCGCCUCUCAGUGCUGCAGCUAACGCAUUAAGCACUCCGCCUGGGGAGUACGACCGCAAGGUUGAAACUCAAAGGAAUUGACGGGGGCCCGCACAAGCGGUGGAGCAUGUGGUUUAAUUCGAAGCAACGCGAAGAACCUUACCAGGUCUUGACAUCUAGUGCCAUUUGUAGAGAUACAAAGUUCCCUUCGGGGACGCUAAGACAGGUGGUGCAUGGCUGUCGUCAGCUCGUGUCGUGAGAUGUUGGGUUAAGUCCCGCAACGAGCGCAACCCUUGUUAUUAGUUGCCAGCAUUAAGUUGGGCACUCUAAUGAGACUGCCGGUGACAAACCGGAGGAAGGUGGGGAUGACGUCAAGUCAUCAUGCCCCUUAUGACCUGGGCUACACACGUGCUACAAUGGGCAGUACAACGAGAAGCGAGCCUGCGAAGGCAAGCGAAUCUCUGAAAGCUGUUCUCAGUUCGGACUGCAGUCUGCAACUCGACUGCACGAAGCUGGAAUCGCUAGUAAUCGCGGAUCAGCACGCCGCGGUGAAUACGUUCCCGGGCCUUGUACACACCGCCCGUCACACCAUGGGAGUCUGCAAUGCCCAAAGCCGGUGGCCUAACCUUCGGGAAGGAGCCGUCUAAGGCAGGGCAGAUGACUGGGGUGAAGUCGUAACAAGGUAGCCGUAGGAGAACCUGCGGCUGGAUCACCUCCUUUCUAAGGAA
rnacentral:rRNA from 1 species